rnacentral:rRNA from 1 species
AAAGCGAGCGGCGGAUGGGUGAGUAACACGUGGGGAACCUGCCCCUAAGUCUGGGAUACCAUUUGGAAACAGGUGCUAAUACCGGAUAAUAAAGCAGAUCGCAUGAUCAGCUUUUGAAAGGCGGCGUAAGCUGUCGCUAAGGGAUGGCCCCGCGGUGCAUUAGCUAGUUGGUAAGGUAACGGCUUACCAAGGCGACGAUGCAUAGCCGAGUUGAGAGACUGAUCGGCCACAUUGGGACUGAGACACGGCCCAAACUCCUACGGGAGGCAGCAGUAGGGAAUCUUCCACAAUGGACGCAAGUCUGAUGGAGCAACGCCGCGUGAGUGAAGAAGGUUUUCGGAUCGUAAAGCUCUGUUGUUGGUGAAGAAGGAUAGAGGUAGUAACUGGCCUUUAUUUGACGGUAAUCAACCAGAAAGUCACGGCUAACUACGUGCCAGCAGCCGCGGUAAUACGUAGGUGGCAAGCGUUGUCCGGAUUUAUUGGGCGUAAAGCGAGCGCAGGCGGAAAAAUAAGUCUAAUGUGAAAGCCCUCGGCUUAACCGAGGAACUGCAUCGGAAACUGUUUUUCUUGAGUGCAGAAGAGGAGAGUGGAACUCCAUGUGUAGCGGUGGAAUGCGUAGAUAUAUGGAAGAACACCAGUGGCGAAGGCGGCUCUCUGGUCUGCAACUGACGCUGAGGCUCGAAAGCAUGGGUAGCGAACAGGAUUAGAUACCCUGGUAGUCCAUGCCGUAAACGAUGAGUGCUAAGUGUUGGGAGGUUUCCGCCUCUCAGUGCUGCAGCUAACGCAUUAAGCACUCCGCCU